rnacentral:rRNA from 1 species
GACGAACGCUGGCGGCGUGCUUAACACAUGCAAGUCGAACGGAAAGGCCCUGCGUUUGUGGGGUGCUCGAGUGGCGAACGGGUGAGUAACACGAGAGUAACCUGCCCUUGACUUUGGGAUAACUUCAGGAAACUGGGGCUAAUACCGGAUAGGAGAUCCUGCUGCAUGGGGGGGGUUGGAAAGUUUCGGCGGUUGGGGAUGGACUCGCGGCUUAUCAGCUUGUUGGUGGGGGAGUGGCUUACCAAGGCUUUGACGGGUAGACGGCCUGGGAGGGUGACCGGCCACAUUGGUACUGCGAUACGGCCCAGACUCCUACGGGAGGCAGCAGUGGGGAAUAUUGCACAAUGGGCGGAAGCCUGAUGCAGCAACGCCGCGUGCGUGAUGCCGGCCUUCUGGUUGUAAACCGCUUUCGCCUGUGACGAAGCGUGAGUGACGGUAAUGGGUAAAGAAGCACCGGCUAACUACGUG